GGUCAGGACGAACGCUGGCGGCGUGCUUAACACAUGCAAGUCGAGCGAUGAAGCUCUUCGGAAGUGGAUUAGCGGCGGACGGGUGAGUAACACGUGGGUAACCUGCCUCAUAGAGGGGAAUAGCCUUCCGAAAGGAAGAUUAAUACCGCAUAAGAUUGUAAUAUCGCAUGAUAUAGCAAUUAAAGGAGUAAUCCGCUAUGAGAUGGACCCGCGUCGCAUUAGCUAGUUGGUGAGGUAACGGCUCACCAAGGCGACGAUGCGUAGCCGACCUGAGAGGGUGAUCGGCCACAUUGGGACUGAGACACGGCCCAGACUCCUACGGGAGGCAGCAGUGGGGAAUAUUGCACAAUGGGGGAAACCCUGAUUGCAGCAACGCCGCGUGAGUGAUGACGGUCUUCGGAUUGUAAAGCUCUGUCUUUAGGGACGAUAAUGACGGUACCUAAGGAGGAAGCCACGGCUAACUACGUGCCAGCCGCCGC
rnacentral:rRNA from 1 species